rnacentral:lncRNA from 1 species
GUCUCGUUGGACUCUGUUUUUCGUCGCGAACCUCGCUGUGGGCUCAAUAUGGAUUGAAUCUCGAGGUGUCAAAUUUUAACAGACUAUAUAUAUGGAGAGUAGGAGAGAGAGAGAGGUGAAUGGUGAGUUAACGUAAAAAAGAUCAUGACCGGAGUAAAAUCUAUUCAUGAAUUAGGAGGCUUGACGAGAAAGACCGGCGAACGGCGGUCCGUCGAGAAGAGCGGCGGGCCCCUUAUGCAACGACUGGCGAGAAGACUUGACCGGAGAAGCAUCAUGGGCGUCUCGUACAAAGACGUGGACUG